UCCUAUAUGAGCCUUUGGCUUCAUUGCAUCCGCACCAGUUUUUGCUACUUACAAUCUUUUGCGAUUUGUAUCCCAGCUUCCUACCGCUCUCGAUCUGAUACUCUCGCAUUUUCAGCUACAUUUUCAUCUAAUUCUUGCCGAUAUUUUUUUUGUUGUUUUGGGUUUUUUGUGAAGUUGUUUGAAAUCUGUUACCGGUGGACUUUUGGAUUAUUUGCGAAGCUCUCGAGUUUUAGAGUACUUGUUAGUUUUUGUGCACUGGGAGGGUCUGGUAAGGGCCCUUCUAGUAGCGGCGGUCACGAUGCAGACCAUGGCGAAGGCCUUCCUGACGCCGACUAAGACGAAGAGUUUGAAGUGCGGUAAGUUGGAGAGUUUGCCGUUGAGGGAGACUGUUAGCCCUAUUCAGCUGAAGAGGAAGACGCCAAAGGCCAAGACUCCUGGCAGAGCGACCGACCGCUUCAUCGCUGAUCGCAGUGCCAUGGAUUUCAAUGUCGCUAAUCUUAUGCUGACUAGAGAGAAUUCGUCCGUGGAUGUCAUAUCUCCUUCCAAGGAUGAGUAUAAGAAGCAGUUGGCCGAGAGCCUUUUGAACAAUAAUGGACAAAAGCAGAGCCGCAUCUUAGCGUUCAAGAGCAAACCUCCUCCUCCGCCUGAAGGAUUCCAAAACGGCCGUCAAACUCUUUACUCUCAAAAUGUGUCCGCACAGUCUAAGCCCAAAAAGAUGUUCCGCCACAUUCCGCAGGCAGCUGAGAGAACCCUAGAUGCACCUGACAUGCUUGAUGACUACUACCUUAAUCUAUUGGACUGGAGCUCCGGGAAUGUUUUAGCUGUGGCUUUGGGUAUGACAGUGUACUUAUGGGAUGCCACCACUAGCUCCAUCGAGGAAUUGAUGACAGUAGACGAGGAAGGCCCAAUCACCAGCGUGUCUUGGGCUCCUGACGGUCAGUAUCUGGCUGUAGGAUUGAACAACUCAUCUGUCCAGCUGUGGGAUUCAACAACACUACGUCAGUUGCGGACAUUGAGGGGUCACUCGGCGCGCGUGAGUGCCCUUGCCUGGAACGGUCCCACGCUUGCCACCGGAGGACGCGACAAUAUGAUCCUGAACCAUGACGUGAGGAUCAGGGAAAACGUCAUCGGAUGCAUGGCGGCCCACGAGCAAGAGGUAUGUGGGUUGAAGUGGUCGCCCUCCGGACAGCAGCUAGCCAGCGGUGGCAAUGACAACUUGCUGCACAUAUGGGAUGCGUCUGCAGCUUCAUCUUUGUCAGCCAGCCCACUUCACAGCCUUGAUGAGCACCAGGCUGCCGUGAAAGCCUUGGCAUGGUGUCCGUUCCAAAGCAACCUGCUGGCGUCAGGUGGAGGGACCGCGGAUCGAUGCAUCAAGUUUUGGAAUACGCAUACUGGGGCAUGUGUGAACAGCAUUGACACUCAAUCACAGGUGUGUGCACUCCAGUGGAGCAAGCACGAGAAGGAGAUACUGAGCUCCCAUGGGUUCAGCCAGAAUCAAUUGUGCCUGUGGAAGUAUCCAUCGAUGGUCAAGAUGGCUGAAUUCACAGGGCACACAUCCAGGGUGUUACACCUAGCACAGAGUCCCGAUGGAUACACUGUGGCAUCCGCUGCCGGCGACGAGACUUUGAGAUUUUGGAAUGUGUUCGGAACACCUGAGGCCAAAUUAGUGAACCAGGCAAAGAAAACGAGAGAGGUGGAGAGUGCGUUGACAUCCUUGACUAGGAUUCGUUAGGCGGAGAUCCGACGUUAUAUCUCCAGAGUAGGUGAAGCACAGUUGUCAUCAGCAGAUCCAGCUGCCGUACUGCGAGCUGCACCUUAGGCAAUGGCAAUAUUUUUUACUUGGUCGACAGUUCGCGCAAAUCGGCCCAGAGAAGGAGCGUGCAGAGAUGAACUCUAGAACGGACAAGACAAUCAAGACUUUUCCCAUACGGCGGCGAAUUAUUCUGCAGCCUGUACAAUGAUACCCCAGGUAGGAGGGAGUGGAAAACACCGUCGAACGCAGCAAGUUUCUUCAUCCAUAUUUGAGGCAGGAUUUCUCUCUCAAUUUACACUUCUAGAAACUGCAAGAUGGUUGCGAGCCGCGCAUUGCUAUUGUCAGCCAAUACGGAAAUGAGAAUCGUAAAUCUCUGAGAUUUUGCCACGCGAUGAAGGUGGCUUCUGAACCAACAUUCUAGGUCCUGAUAAAUGACGAAAGCGACCCCUUCAUAUCGGGUAAAAAUUCUCAUGGGUACUGCUGUACUCUCGCUUCCUCGGAUUUGGUAAAUCUGUGCCACAGGCGUAAUGCAAAUUAAUAGCAACAGGAAGUUCAUCGUGCGACAGCCCAGUUUAAUUGGUGUCCAGCGACGAAUAGCUGACCAAGCCUGUUGAACGAGAAGAAUCAUGUUGGGAAUCGUUAGUGGUAGGAGAGGAUUUGAAAUCCCUCGAUAUGUAAUCGCCCGAAGUUUUUCGGCAUGUGCAUAAUGUAGUUGAUGAUAAGUUAACA